rnacentral:lncRNA from 1 species
CAAGGAGGGCGGGAGUUUAGGCUGCGCCGACCCCUCAGCCCCCCUCCAGGUGAUCCCCACCCCCGAAAUCCUCACCCAGGGCCCCGAAUAUCCCAGGUCCAUGACCGCAAAGCCUUCCUCCCUGAUCCCCUAAAUGUCCCAGAUCCCCGAGGUGACCGACCUCCUAAUUCUUUAACGUCUGGUGCCUCCCAAUUUUUCAAUCCCCCACCCUAUCCCGAUGUGGCAAUUGAGGCUUCCGGGGGGCACCUGCCUCAGAUUACCUGAGAACAGGUCAGACGGGUCCUGAGAAUGACAGAGAGGGGGACAUGGGGUUGGAGAAUCCUUGACCCAAUCAUGCUGCUCCCCAGGAGACGUUCGGAGCCCAGGACAUGUCGGGAUUGAGGAGAUACGAGGUGGCGCUGGAGGCGGAGGAGGAGUGAGUGGAGGCGGGUUCUGCGGAGGAGGAACCUAGCCGCUCCGGGGUGGGGGAGGGCGCGAGUUCUCUGCGGGCGGGAGGCGUGGGGCCCCUCAAGGGGCGUGGGCUGCGAAGGGAACCGCCUCUAAAGGGCGGGGCGGAGCCUUCCUAGAGAGGGGCGAGGCGUCUAAACCGCAGAGUCUGUGGGGUCAGCCCCGCCCACCCGGCCGGCUCUGCCUUCUCUCCGCAGGAUCUACUGGGGUUGCUUCUACUUUUUCCCCUGGCUGCGCAUGUGGCGGAGGGACAGGAGGUGAGGGGGCUGCGACGCCGCGGACCCGCCCGGGGCAUACGAGGCUCAGCCUCGGGGGACGGAUGGGGGUAAUCUGGGAGUCCCCUCCUUGCCUUAUGCCAGUGUCGGGUUGCCCUGCAGCUCGGCGCAUCCGCGGGAGCAGAAGUUGGAGCCUCUGCGAGGCCUGAUGAGCUGUCUGUCAAGCGGACUGGGCCCUGCCCCCCAGCGCUCGGGUCGCGGCCUCCCUCGCCGCACCCCCGCCNNNNNNNNNNNNNNNNNNNNNNNNNNNNNNNNNNNNNNNNNNNNNNGCCAUUCGGUCUGGGAGCCCUCUACACGCCUGCUUCUCGUUACUGACAGGGCCUCCCUCCCUGAUUGGGUGCCCUUCCAUAUCCAGGCCCCCGUUAUUCCUAAGGAUCCCUCAUCAGUAUCAGGCCUCCCAUUACUGUCUUUAACUGCCCUCUGCCACCUAACCUCCCCACCCCCCCACCCCCCACCCCUCCCUGUAAGUAGCCUAUAUGCAGAGAACUAAAUAGUCCUGUCCUGGUCUUUUCUUCCACCCGUAUCCCCACAUAGAUGUGUUCCACUUCCCUCCUAGAAAGGACUUUGCCAGGUGUCUGAAGCAUCUUCUUUGUCUGAGAGUGAAUCUAAAAUAUUUUAAGCCCAGUGUUGUAGGAAGUAGGCAGGGAGGGGAGGGGAAGUUUCUUAGAGGCUGACUCCCUCAACCUGCCACAGGGGAAUUACUUGGGACUGUUGGAGAUCUUUCUUACAGUUAAUAACCCAACUUUUGGCUCCUCCAGUCUUUUCUCGGGUUUAAAGAUACCUGGCAUCAGCUUACCUAACAGUUCUUGCUGUGUCCCUAGAACUCAAAGGCCACUGCCCCUUGCCACCCCUUUCUAUCUUGUCAUCUAGUUAACCUGAGACCCUCUAGGUCCUAAAGUGCUGAGGGUGAGGGCCUCCUGGUGGGCCUGCUUCUGUUAGGGACUGGUUCCAGCAUCAGAAAAGGUACCAGAAGAUGAAGUUAAAGAGACAGCCCAGUGUAUGGAUGAGGACAAAGCUAACUUUUAGCCUGGGGCUGCCCCUGCCACAGCAGCUUGUGGCUGGGGAAACCACUUGGCCCUAUCUUUGGAGAAGCCAAAGGGGAGAAAUGGGUACAUACCCAAAAGAACUCAUUUCUUGCCUUCCCAGGUGUCUGGACCAAUUGGUCCAGAAAAGACCACAAAGUAUAUGGCAGACAGCCAGCUGAUGGAGAUCUGUAAUAAAACAAUGGCACCUCAAGAGCUGCACCUGAGCUCUGGGGUACAUGUCCGGACUGGAGGGUGGGAGAGAGACCCUAAGGCCUCUGGUACUAUCAGUUCAAGAUGAGUGACCUCUGGGUUGUGGCCACCUUCAAGAACAGACCCAGACUCUUGAGCCAUUUCCUCACAAUGUCUACAUCAAGAACCCUGUCAAAAGUGGAGUACCCUGUCAAGCCCAGGGCCUACACCUCACCAGGACACUAUCAGAAUUCCUGAGUAUUCACAAGACAAACUCCAGGGAAAGACCUUCAAGCCUCACCCUGGACAGAAGAGAGGAGAAACGAAUUGUUCAGCAUGGGAGGGGGACUAGUUCCUACUCUUGGAACUGAUGGUCCCUCCUGAUUGUUUCAGCAACCCUGAAGCAGAAAGAUGCCCAGGAUAGGUUUGGGUCCCUAUCCCAAGAGAAGGCCUGCCCCAUAGAGGAUAGCUGGCCACAGAGCAGAAGGCUGCACAAGGCACCCCUGCAACAACCAGAUAAAGUCUGGAUUACUGGGUUAUGACUCAGUUUAUGUUUCGAAUACAGAGCAAGACUUGAGGGUUGAAAUCCCCAGACCAGGAGUGGGAAAUUCUUCAAGGUGCCAGGGGCACUAAACUUAGCAACUUGCCCCCACCAUAGGCAGUUCCCAGCUUCCUUGAAAGCACAAGAAGAGGAGGAGAACUUUUGUUUUAGAGGGUGAGGGGAAAAAGGGAAUUAGGGCUGGUUAUAGGAUAGGAGAGAAGAGACAGGGAGGAGAUGAGAGGUUGGGGCUUUAGCAAGAGGAUGGGAUGCAGAGAGUAAGGGUUGGGGCCUGGGUUGGGGCAGGGGUGGUAUUACAGGACCUGGCUGGGGAGCAGGGCCUGGCUGGAAUUUGAAUAGAACAAAAGAAAGCUCAUUGAGCUCUUGAGUCUGAUGUCUGCAUAAACCAGAGACUGAUUCUGGAAACCCCAGGCACCCCUCCUGGCAAGAGGCUGGCAUUUCUGGGAUAGGACUAGGCAAAAACAGGAAGGUAAGAUUUCUUGGGUCUUUUCCCUGUUUGACAUCAGCAACCUGGCACCAAAGAACUUUACCUUCUUUCAUCUUUCCACCCCAUCCUUCCUCCCUGUCUCAUCUCCCUGGGAAAAGCAGCCCCUACUUCAUCAUCCCCAAGGUACCCCAGUACCAAAAAGGGCCUUGUCCCGGCUUCUCACUCUGGAUGUAACUGUUCCAGCCAAGACUCAUCCUCAGCCAGAAGGACUUGCUUUAGGGACCCAUUCUCAUCAAUUUCUCCUGAUAAGACAGGCAGGCUAGGACAGGAAGUAUAUAGAGGGGAAGAUGAAGGCAAGUUGGUGCUGGCCUGCCCUCUGCUCCCACCCCACCCAAAAUUCCCCUAUCAGAAUUUGUGUGUGUUCAUAUGAUUGUGUGACUGGAUGAUUGUGAAGACACAACUGUGUGGGAGUGGGACUUUGAGGCCAACUGGGGCUAUAUGAUUCUGUCCUUGGUUGUCUGACCAUGUGAGGUUGACUGAGUGAUUGAGGUGUGACUAUGAAUGUGACUAUGGGUAUAUGAGUAUGAAUGUCCAUCAUUGGAUACCACCGUGGAUCCUUAGCUGCCCUUACUUGGCCACUGUGUCAUCAGCCUUCACAUCAUGCAGUACCCCUCUCUCCAGCUUCUCUGUCCAGGGCUUAGAAGCCAUGGGAAAUGGCAGCCCUAGAAGAGGAAGGGGUCUGUGGCAAUUAGGGCUCAGGAAUGUCACAGGAUGAGCAAUACAUCUUCACCUGCCUCUGACUCACCUGGUGCCCCAGGUAAAAGGCACCCAGAUAAAAGGUAGGGGAGGAGGAGAAGAGAGAAGUAUCCAAGAUGAGCAGCAUGAAGGGGCCCUCACCCACAAGCAGCCUCCUUCUGCUACUGCUGCUGCUGACCCCAGACCCUGGAGCAGGUGAGUGCUUGGGGGUCUAGAAGGCCAGGGAUUUGGGUAAAUGGGGUGGAGGGAAAGGGACCCAGGAAGUCCAUCCUCCAGCUGUCUGAUAGAAGGGUUUGGGGUCAGGAGUCCUCUGAACACAUGGCCCCAUUGUCCCCUAGCACUGCUGCUGUCACCCAGCAUUACCUGCUGUACUCAGCUCUACCGCCAGCCACUCUCGAACAAGCUACUAAGGAAAGUCAUCCGGGUGGAACUGCAGGAAGCUGAUGGGGACUGUCACCUCCAGGCCUUCGUGUGAGCUCUGACCCUGCCCCUCAUAUUGACCCCUGACUCUGACCUCAGUCCCAACCUGAUGCUGACCCCAACCCCAGCCCCAGUUGCUAAUUCUGAUGCUGACUCAGGUUUUCAUUUAGCCUUUGCCCUAACCCCUGGACCCUAAUGUCAUCUCCAAGCUAUGACUAUGGCUUUGCACCUUUCCUUUCCCAGGCUUCACUUGUCUCGACGCAGUGUCUGCAUCCAUCCUCAGAACCGCAGCCUGGCUCGGUGGUUUGAGCGCCAAGGGAGGAGAUUCCAGGGUAUUCUGCCUAACCUGAAUUAGGAGCUGAUAGGGAAAAUGGACCAGGGGCCCUAAUAGCCAAAAUAAUAAAGCAUCAUUGGAUAAUA